GUGCAGCUGAAGGACUGGUUAAUGAAGACACCCUCAAGCCAUCGGUAAGGGAGCCCUAAGAUGGACCUGACACACGUUACUGAAUUCCCUUUCCAGAGAAGCUGUUCUGUGGCUGUUUGAAGUGCAGUACACAAGAGUAUUCUGUCCUCCAAUUUCAGCAGUGCCAAGUUUCCAAUCAAGAGCCAUCAGGAAACUUGUAGUCAUGAAUAUUACAAGCAGAGAUUUACUGUCUACUCCAAAGGAAAAAAGAAUCCCACCAGUUAAGCCGCACUGUUGUUAACAGCAGUAGGAGCCUCAGUGGGAAUGGCUCCCCAGCUCUGGGCUCCAUUCUGAGCACCUUGCUGAUUAACCCUGCACUAGAACUCCUACCAGCAAGAUGAAAAGAAGGAGCAGGGAGAAGAAUGAGCCAAACAUGCACAGCAGGAACAAGGACACUGCUGUGUGAAGAAGGCAGCUGCCAUUUGGGUUCAGAUGAGAUGCAACACAUUAUAGAAGAGACUC